AAAAAAGAAGACUUUAUGCAUGCUUGUAGAGGCUAUUAAACUGCUCGGGAAAGAGUCAGUACAUUCCAUUUCCCUCGUGAUGAAGAUGCAUGGAGAUAAUGGAUAAGAGCAGUUCACCGUGAUAAUUUCAUCCCUUCAGAUCACUCUGUGAUUUGUGAGCUGCAUUUCCAUGCACACGAAAUAGAAAGAAGUACAUCGUCAUAUGAUGCUAAGACUGGAAGAUUAAUUACACGCCUCUUGAUCGUCCACGUUUAAGGAAAGGUGCAAUACCAGCACUAUUGCCAGCAUGUCCUGAUUAUUUAUCUACACCAUAAGAAGGCAAUAUCUUUCUUUUCGUUGAAGGUAU